GCCUCCACACUGGGAAUAACUAAGUUGGUAGAGCAUGAGACUCUUAAAUCUCAGGGUGGUGGGUUCGAGCCCUAUGUUGGGCA